GCCUCGCUAAACGAUGCACACCUGUAACUCACGUGACCCUGAUUAUUAUUGAAACGAGAACGAGGGCGUCGUGCCUUUAUAAGACUGCGUUAAUGUUUCCGUGGAGUUAUCCCUUCCGGCGUUGUUGUUUAUUGAUUGUUAAACAUGGCUUCAUUUGCAAAGGUGUGUGUGUCCUCAUUGCGUGUGUCUGUAAUGCAUUCUGUUUUCCGAAGAGAGAUGUGAACUUUAAGGCCUCUGCAGUUGACCGCCAAAGUGAUGAUGUGGUUGUCACCACAACACCCGUUCCCCACAACCAGACCACAUCUGCCCAUACUGAAGCUGGUGGUGAGCCAGUGAAGAUGCUGUGGACCGCCAAAGUGAUGUGGUUGUCGCCACAACACCCGAUCCCCACAACCGGACCACAUCUGCCCAUACUGAAGCUGGUGGUGAGCCAGUGAAGAUGCUGUGGACCGCCAAAGUGAUGAUGUGGUUUCCACCACAACACCCAAUCCCCACAACCAGACCACAUCUGCCCCUACUGAAGCUGAUGGAGCAAGUGAAGAUGAUGAUGAUGCAGCAAGUGAAGAUGCUGUGGCUACCACCCCAACACCAAAUCCCCCAACUACAUCUGACCACACUGCAGCUACCGGUGAUGCAAGUGAGGGUGCUGUGGCUGCCCAAACUGGAACUACUGUAUCCCAUACGACUGAAGUCUGAUUCGACUGCUCCUCUGGUCACAAUGACCUGAGUCACUGUCUGGACUUUUUGCCUCUACAUGUUGACUGCAAUAAAGGACAGAUUUGUUUUUUGAAUCAAAUGUUGUCUUGCCUUUUUCAAAUUGAGGCCUUGUCCUGUUUUGGUGGUGGAGAUGACUAUGAAGCCUCUUUCCUAACGUAUUUCCGGUAGUGGUUUUACUAUAUGCUUCAUGCAACAAGGCCUUUAACGACUCUACAAUUUAAAAGCAUCUAGUUGUGUCAAUUAGUAAAAUGGUUGAACUGGUAGUGAUGCACUAUAAUGGUGAACUGCUUGUGGCAUUUCAAAAAUCU
ensembl:lncRNA